GUGAGGGUGACCGAGCGUGGGAAGGAAGCGUGGAGCGUAAACCGUGAGUCGAGGUACACAAACCGCAUCUGAGGCGCUGCCAAGCAGGGCGAGUGGGCA
rfam:Variovorax paradoxus strain TBEA6 VPARA_contig000016, whole genome shotgun sequence.